UAAGGAGAAUUGAUAAUCCUCAAUACAAGUAUACCUUGGCAAUGAUUGGCUAUGCAGAUGAAUAUGAGACAACUGUCCUUGAGUUGACUUACAAUUAUGAUGUGACUGAAUAUUCCAAGGGAAAUGCAUAUGCACAGGUUGCUAUUGGUACUGAUGACGUCUCGAGGUUGUCAGCUUGGUUACCCAAGAGCUUGGUGGAAAGAUAACUAGACCACCUGGACCACUUCCUGGAAUAAACACCAAAAUUACUUCUUUUCUAGAUCCAGAUGGCUGGAAAACGGUCCUGGUUGACAAUGAAGACUUUCUGAAGGAACUUCAAAAGGAAGAAUAACUGAGAGGGUUCUAGCUGCACUACCUAUACGCUGCUAUUUUGUGAAUAAGCUUGUGUAGCUAGUAAUCUUGGCUAAAAUUUAGCAGGUUCACUUAGUUCCAUGCGGAGAACAUGUUUAUAUAAAUUGGUGGUAGCAUAUUAAGGCUUUGUUUGGCUAUUCAUUUUUACUUGUCCAUGUUGCUUUUUUCUUAGUAAGGUAGUUUUAUUUGAAAUCAAUGUUUUCAUUUACCGAGCUUCUUUAGAUGGAGAGAAGAAAAAGAAAGGGGCUAUGUAUUGUUAAAUAGUACAUAAAGCAAUAAUAUGCUACCACCAAUUUAU
rnacentral:misc_RNA from 1 species